rnacentral:misc_RNA from 1 species
GGGACUGUGGUAAUUGGCUGCCGGAGGGGUGGGAGGAAAGAGUGGAAGGGAAGCUUGUGAAGGGGUGGGCACCGCAGGUAGAGAUACUGAGCCAUGUGUCAGUAGGGGCGUUUCUGACACACUGUGGAUGGAACUCGGUGCUGGAAGCGGCGGCGGCUGGGGUGCCGAUGCUUACAUGGCCUCUGGUGGUGGAGCAGUUCAUUAACGAGAGGCUGGUGGUAGAGGUCAUGAGGGCAGGAGCGAGGGUGUGGGACGGUCCUCGAAGUACUGAGGAGUCCGAAAAGGUGGUGGUUCCUGGGGAGGCGAUCGGGAAAGCAGUGGCGGCAUUCAUGGAUCCCAGCGGGGAUGGAGAGGCUGCACGGGGAAGAGCAAGGGAGUAUGCAGCUAAGGCGAAGGCGGCGGUUGCCGAGGGAGGUUCGUCUACAAUGGAUCUCCAUUCGAUGAUCGAUGAGCUUAUGGUGGAGGCCGGAAAGAAAGGAAAUCCAACUCAAAUUUGAGAUUUAUGAGUUUAGUCUCAUCUUAAUAAUUGCCUUGUUUUCAUUUGUUUUGUUUGCUAGUGGUUUAGUCUCAAAUUUGAUGCUUGUUGACCCAACU